rnacentral:misc_RNA from 1 species
CUGAAACCGUCCGCCGCAGCCGCGUUUCUCGCUCGGAUCACGUAGCGCGCGUCGAGCCGCAACUCCUCCCCCGACUCUGCUGCCGCGCGCCUAGCUCGCCCAGCGCCGCCACUUCCCUCCUGCCGCCGGAUCCCAGUGCGCGCGGCCAGUGCGCCAUCGCCGGGGAAGCCGCUCCUCACCUCGUUGCUGCUGCCCGCGCCCCUGAAGCAACCGCCGCGUGCCUUGCCGCGCCGCGCCACGUCCGAGCCGUGCCUGGUCGCGGCCUCCCGCGCCAGCCUCGCCCACUGGAGCCACCUUCGUUCGAGCUCGCCCCAAGAUUGCGAUCUAUUCCUGAGCUUCGAGGAAUCGACGAUCAAGAUUUGGUGAACCGCUGCUCCUGAGAUCAAGUUCUUUGAGUUCUACGAGGUUGAAGACCCUGAGCAUUUGUUUGGUGAAGGUUGUCCACAUUGCAACCACUGCUCAGGAGAAGAUGAAGCCAUGGAAGGAGACUUCCAGGAGUUCUAAGACUAUGACGAGUUCUAGGUGUGGGUUGGCGGCAACCCCCAGUCAGCUGCCUGUGAAGGCCCUAUCUUUACUGUGUUUUGCUUAGCACUUUGAUUUACCCGUUGAGUUGAUGACUAUGUGGUUGUCUUUGAC